rnacentral:tRNA from 1 species
GGGGGUGUGGCUUAGUGCUAAGGUGCAUGCCCAACAUGCGAGAGGCCCUGGGUUUGAUUCUCAGUACCACCA